UACGUAGGGGGCAAGCGUUGUCCGGAUUCAUUGGGCGUAAAGAGCGUGUAGGCGGCCAGGUAGGUCGGUUGUGAAAACUGGAGGCUCAACCUUCAGAGGUCGACCGAAACCAUCUGGCUAGAGUCCGGGAGAGGAGAGUGGAAUUCCUGGUGUAGCGGUGAAAUGCGCAGAUAUCAGGAAGAACACCCGUGGCUAAGGCGGCUCUCUAGUACGGUACUGACGCUGAGACGCGAAAGCGUGGGGAGCGAACAGG
rnacentral:rRNA from 1 species